rnacentral:rRNA from 1 species
GACGAACGCUGGCGGCGUGCUUAACACAUGCAAGUCGAACGGAAAGGCCCUGCUUUUGUGGGGUGCUCGAGUGGCGAACGGGUGCGUAACACGUGAGUAACCUGCCCUUGACUUUGGGAUAACUUCCGGAAACUGGGGCUAAUACCGGAUAGGAGCUCCUGCUGCAUGGUGGGGGUUGGAACGUUUCGGCGGUUGGGGAUGGACUCGCGGCUUAUCAGCUUGUUGGUGGGGUAGUGGCUUACCAAGGCUUUGACGGGUAGCCGGCCUGAGAGGGUGACCGGCCACAUGGGGACUGAGAUACGGCCCAGUCUCCUACGGGGGGCAGCAGUGGGGAAUAUUGCACAAGGGGCGGAAGCCGGAUGCAGCAACCCCGCGUGCGGGAUGACGGCCUUCGGGGUGUAAACCGCUUUCGCCUGUGACGAAGCGAGAGUGACGGUAAUGGGUAAAGAAGCACCGGCUAACUACGUG